ACAAGCGGUGGAGCAUGUGGUUUAAUUCGAUGCAACGCGAAGAACCUUACCUACUCUUGACAUCUACAGAAGCCGGAAGAGAUUCCGGUGUGCCUUCGGGAACUGUAAGACAGGUGCUGCAUGGCUGUCGUCAGCUCGUGUUGUGAAAUGUUGGGUUAAGUCCCGUAACGAGCGCAACCCUUGUCCUUAUUUGCCAGCGCGUAAUGGCGGGAACUCUAAGGAGACUGCCGGUGACAAACCGGAGGAAGGUGGGGACGACGUCAAGUCAUCAUGGCCCUUACGAGUAGGGCUACACACGUGCUACAAUGGCCGGUACAAAGGGUUGCGAGCUCGCGAGAGUCAGCUAAUCCCGAAAAGCCGGUCUCAGUCCGGAUCGGAGUCUGCAACUCGACUCCGUGAAGUCGGAAUCGCUAGUAAUCGUGAAUCAGAAUGUCACGGUGAAUACGUUCCCGGGCCUUGUACACACCGC
rnacentral:rRNA from 1 species